ensembl:lncRNA
CAGAGGAAUCUGCUGCCAUCUUGGACAGAUAUUUUUGCCAUGGCUGAGUCAGCGAUGAGUAUUCUGGAGAGAGAAGAUGGAGAAUUCUUCACUCACCUUCAAGGCACAUUCAGAAACAGUCUCACAGCUGACCCCAAAGUGCGAGCCAACGCUCAAGCUACAGGUGUGUCUGAAAAUGGAUACCAGCAGGAUCCAAGUGAGAAGCUCCUGGCAAGGCCGGUCCUGUUUCUCGGGAAGUGGAUGGCAGAGGGGUUUGUUGGCGUGCUGAGUUUGCCUGCUGUGCUGUUAGUCUGGGAUCAGCUGUUCAUGCAAAACUGGAACCCAGAUGUGCUGCAGAAUUUCUGCCUUUCCAUCCUCUUUCUGUUAAAGGAAUCCUUCAUGACAGCGAGUUGUUAUUCUGCAGUUCAAGAGGUAUUUCUCUCUUGUCCUUCCCAACUUCUCACGGCUGACAUCCAGAGAGCUUGGGUUCACUUGCAGCGAGGAGGUUUGCCUGCCGACAUCCCUGGUCUUAACAGGCUGAAUCAGAGCUGGAAAAAUGUAUUUGGGCUGUCGGAAAAUCUGGCCAACCGGAGUGAAGGAUAUUUUAUUGAAGAUAGUUUUGCCGGUUNUUCAGUCCGAGAUACCCCAGUCUGUCUUGCAAAAUGUUGCCCCUUCAGCCAUGAAAUUAACAGUUUCCGUGUUUUAUGGCUCUGAGAAGCUGCGUUCUAAGACAAGGCCUCUUCUGUGCAGAACCCAGGGUGAAGCAGCCUCUCUCCACGAAAUAGAAUUUGCUUCCCGUGCCGAUGGUAUGAUCCAGUUAUUACUGACUUUUGGAUGUUUAAAGUUGUCAUUAGCAGCAAAAGGUCGUUCAGACUUCUCCAGCCUGGUGUCUAAUUGGAUAGAAUUAAUCUCCCCUCAUUCUAUCCAAUUAUGUUUCCGUGAAUGAGUUUCUGUAAGCUGUUACCUAAUCUGGUGGUACACAUUUUCAUACAUAACCAUCUUAAUUUUAUUUAUUUAUGUGUUGUAUUUUGCCUACUUUGUGGUAACUCCGUGCAGCUAACAAGUGUCAGUAAAGCAUUAGAAGAAGGUGCAUAUUCUUUCCAGAAUGCAGUUGUGCCCCAAGUAAAUAAGUUAUCCUCAGGGGGAAAAAUGCACCUGCUAAAUAACUUACGAGCUAAUUUCUCUCUGUGUUUUAUAAUANAUUGCACAGAAUAAGUUGAUGCUGGGAUUGACUAAUGGCUGGAAGCAAAUAGAGAGGUUUAAUUAAAGCUCAAAAGCUAUUUAUUGUGAGCAUACUGCAAAUCAAUAGAGAACACUGCUGUUAUACAACUAGGCAGUACAUAAAUUUAUUUUUUUUUCACCCUAUCCUACACUCCUUUCUCACCUGACUCUUGCUGAGGGUUUGUAAAUGUUUCGCUGUUUGCAGUUUUGGCUGGUGGGAUGCUGUGCAGAAGAAACUGAUUAAAGGCGGGCUGUGAAAGUAGAAGACUACAUUGCUACUGAAAGCGUCCAUUAAGAGUUGGAGAAAGCAUUACAGGCCUCUUGGGGGAAGCUCAAAACACAUAAUCAGUUGUUAGUUUUGCGAAGGAGGGUCAGUUCCCAAGCCAUAAAAACUGUCAUGCCCUGUUGAUUGACAGGUAGAGAAGAAUCACGCGUUGGAAUUUUAUCUUGAAGAUUCCAUAGCUGUUAAGCAAGUUGNACAGGGACUUAACAG